UAAGUGGAGAGUUUGAUCCUGGCUCAGAACGAACGCUGGCGGCGUGCCUAACACAUGCAAGUCGAACGAGAAAUCGGGCGCUCAGGCAACUGAGUGCCGGAGAGUAAAGUGGCGCACGGGUGAGUAACGCGUGGGUAACCUACCCUUGAAUCUGGAAUAACCCCGCGAAAGCGGGACUAAUACCGGAUAUGGUUCCAUUAGCCCAGGCUUUUGGAAUUAAAGGUGACCUCUUCAUGAAAGUUGCCGUUCAGGGACGGGCCCGCGUACCAUUAGCUUGUUGGUAGGGUAAUGGCCUACCAAGGCGACGAUGGUUAGCUGGUCUGAGAGGAUGAUCAGUCACACUGGAACUGGAACACGGUCCAGACUCCUACGGGAGGCAGCAGUGAGGAAUUUUGCGCAAUGGGGGAAACCCUGACGCAGCAACGCCGCGUGAGCGAAGAAGG
rnacentral:rRNA from 1 species